AGUUGGAGAAGAAUGAGUCGCUAAAUUUCAAUUUAGCAAAACCUUGGCCAGGGUAAUCCAUCAGAUGGAUUUGAUAUUUUGAAAUACAAUAUGGACAACCUGAUCAGAGUUGACAGUUGAACUCUGGGGUGUCCUAUAAUCAUUUUGGUCAAGGGGAUGAAUUAUAUGAAAACUAUAUCCGCAUGGGUUCUAAGGAUGUUCUACACAUUCGACCUAUCCGGUCGUCGGGUACC
rnacentral:lncRNA from 1 species